GUACUGCUGAAGAGUCCCAAACUAAGCUGACGAAACAGCUGUCCAAUAC
rfam:Trichobilharzia regenti genome assembly, scaffold: TRE_scaffold0034860